GUGAUUUUUCAGGUCCACGUUAGCGCCAAGGGAGUGCCAUAUUGAGAAUACACUCGAGUAGGUCACAGUGAGGUUUUAUCCACGUUCUUUUGGAAAGUUAGACGUGUUCACUUUGGUAUCGCCGUGUUUGUCCGUUGAGAUACUAUACGUCAACCCGUCUUUCGGUUGGCUAAUUUUCAAUAUGCAUAAUAACAUGGAUCAAAGUAAUGUAGACCGAACACCAAGUGGUGGUAUUCAUAAUUUUGAAAUAAAUAUGCAAAGCCGAGAUAAUAGUUUAAAUGUCGGUAUCAAC